CCUACGGGUGGCUGCAGUGGGGAAUAUUGGACAAUGGGCGGAACCCUGAUCCAGCGACGCCGCGUGCGUGAAGAAGUCUCUCGGUAUGUAAAGCUCUAUCAGCAGGGAAGAAAGAAAUGCCGGUACCUGACUAAGACGCACCGGCUACCUACGUGCCAGCAGCCGUGGUAAUCCGUAGGCGGCAAGCGUUAUCCGGAUUUAAUGGGUGUAAAGGGCGUGUAGGCGGGACUGUAAAUCAGAUGUGAAAACCAUGGGCUCAACCUAUGGCCUGGAUUUGAAACUGUAGUUCUUGUGUACUGGAGAGGCAGACGGAAUUCCUAGUGUAGCGGUGAAAUGCAUAGAUAUUAGGAGGAACACCAGUGGCGAAGGCGGUCUGCUGGACAGCAACUGACGCUGAGGCGCGAAAGCGUGGGGAGCAAACAGGAUUAGAUACCCGUGUAGUC
rnacentral:rRNA from 1 species